rnacentral:rRNA from 1 species
UCUGGCUNAACUGGGGGCUUGCGGUGGGUACGGGCCGGCUUGAGUGCGGUAGGGGAGACUGGAACUCCUGGUGUAGCGGUGGAAUGCGCAGAUAUCAGGAAGAACACCGGUGGCGAAGGCGGGUCUCUGGGCCGUUACUGACGCUGAGGAGCGAAAGCGUGGGGAGCGAACAGGAUUAGAUACCCUGGUAGUCCACGCCGUAAACGUUGGGCACUAGGUGUGGGGGGCCUUUUCCGGGUCUUCCGCGCCGUAGCUAACGCAUUAAGUGCCCCGCCUGGGGAGUACGGCCGCAAGGCUAAAACUCAAAGGAAUUGACGGGGGCCCGCACAAGCGGCGGAGCAUGCGGAUUAAUUCGAUGCAACGCGAAGAACCUUACCAAGGCUUGACAUGUGCCGGUCUGCUCCGGAGACGGGGUUUCCUCCUUUGUGGGGGCUGGUUCACAGGUGGUGCAUGGUUGUCGUCAGCUCGUGUCGUGAGAUGUUGGGUUAAGUCCCGCAACGAGCGCAACCCUUGUCUCGUGUUGCCAGCACGUUGUGGUGGGGACUCGCGGGAGACUGCCGGGGUCAACUCGGAGGAAGGUGGGGAUGACGUCAAAUCAUCAUGCCCCUUAUGUCUUGGGCUUCACGCAUGCUACAAUGGCCGGUACAGAGGGCUGCGAUACCGUGAGGUGGAGCGAAUCCUUUAAAGCCGGUCUCAGUUCGGAUCGGUGUCUGCAACUCGACACCGUGAAGUUGGAGUCGCUAGUAAUCGCAGAUCAGCAACGCUGCGGUGAAUACGUUCUCGGGCCUUGUACACACCGCCCGUCACGUCAUGAAAGUCGGCAACNCC